rnacentral:tRNA from 1 species
CAAGAUAUAAUUUAAGUAGAAUACUAGCUUUGGGGGUUAGUUGUGGGAGUUAAAUUCUCGCUAUCUUGA